CACCUCUCAGGGUCGCACUUGGAGAGUUUCCAGUCCUCUACCAGUCUCAACUAUGGGAGGGAGAGUCAGGCAGAGGCCUACCCAUUCCAUUCUUAGCUUGGGCAGUGCCUAGCGAGUGGGAGGCAAUCUGCUACAAGU
rnacentral:snoRNA from 1 species